rnacentral:rRNA from 1 species
UGAUUAGUAGCAAUACUAAUCGAUGACGAGCGGCGGACGGGUGAGUAAUACGUAGGAACCUGCCCUUAAGCGGGGGAUAACUAAGGGAAACUUUAGCUAAUACCGCAUAAACUCGAGAGAGAAAAGCUGCAGCAAUGUGGCACUUGAGGAGGGGCCUGCGUCAGAUUAGCUAGUUGGUGAGGUAAUAGCUCACCAAGGCGAUGAUCUGUAACUGGUCUGAGAGGACGACCAGUCACACUGGGACUGAGACACGGCCCAGACUCCUACGGGAGGCAGCAGUGGGGAAUAUUGGACAAUGGGGGCAACCCUGAUCCAGCGAUGCCGCGUGGGUGAAGAAGGCCUUCGGGUUGUAAAGCCCUUUAGGUCGGGAAGAAGGUUAGUAGAGGAAAUGCUAUUAACUUGACGGUACCGACAGAAUAAGCACCGGCAAACUCUGUGCCAGCAGCCGCGGUAAUACAGAGGGUGCGAGCGUUAAUCGGAUUUACUGGGCGUAAAGGGCGCGUAGGCGGUGAGAUGUGUGUGAUGUGAAAGCCCCAGGCUCAACCUGGGAAGUGCAUCGCAAACUGUCUGACUGGAGUAUAUGAGAGGGUGGCGGAAUUUCCGGUGUAGCGGUGAAAUGCGUAGAGAUCGGAAGGAACGUCGAUGGCGAAGGCAGCCACCUGGCAUAAUACUGACGCUGAGGCGCGAAAGCGUGGGGAUCGAACAGGAUUAGAUACCCUGGUAGUCCACGCUGUAAACUAUGAGUACUAGAUGUUGGUAGGGGAACCUAUCGGUAUCGAAGCUAACGCGAUAAGUAUUCCGCCUGGGAAGUACGGCCGCAAGGUUGAAACUCAAAUGAAUUGACGGGGGCCCGCACAAGCGGUGGAGCAUGUGGUUUAAUUCGAUGCAACGCGAAGAACCUUACCUACCCUUGACAUCCUGAGAAUCUGGCUUAGUAGCUGGAGUGCCGAAAGGAGCUCAGAGACAGGUGCUGCAUGGCUGUCGUCAGCUCGUGUUGUGAGAUGUUGGGUUAAGUCCCGUAACGAGCGCAACCCUUGCCCUUAGUUGCCAUCAUUUAGUUGGGGACUCUAAGGGGACCGCCAGUGAUGAACUGGAGGAAGGCGGGGACGACGUCAAGUCAUCAUGGCCUUUAUGGGUAGGGCCACACACGUGCUACAAUGGGGCGUACGGAGGGUCGCAAACCCGCGAGGGGGAGCUAAUCUCAUAAAGCGUCUCGUAGUCCGGAUUGGAGUCUGCAACUCGACUCCAUGAAGUUGGAAUCGCUAGUAAUCGCGAAUCAGCAUUG